rnacentral:rRNA from 1 species
CCUACGGGUGGCAGCAGUGGGGGAUAUUGCACAAUGGGGGGAACCCUGAUGCAGCGACGCCGCGUGGGUGAAGAAGCGUUUCGGCGCGUAAAGCCCUGUCAGCAGGGAAGAAAAUGACGGUACCUGAAGAAGAAGCCCCGGCUAACUACGUGCCAGCAGCCGCGGGAAUACGUAGGGGGCAAGCGUUAUCCGGAUUUACUGGGUGUAAAGGGGGCGCAGACGGCGUUGCAAGCCAGGAGGGAAGGCCCGGGGCGCAACCCCGGGACUGCAUUUGGAACUGCGUGGCUGGAGUGCAGGAGGGGCAGGCGGAAUUCCUGGUGUAGCGGUGAAAUGCAUAGAUAUCAGGAGGAACACCGGUGGCGAAGGCAGCAUACUGGUCUGCAACUGACGUUGAGGCCCGAAAGCGUGGGGAGCGAACAGGAUUAGAUACCCUGGUAGUC